rnacentral:rRNA from 1 species
CGGAGGGUGCUAAGCGUUAUCCGGAUUCACUGGGUUAAAGGGUGCGUAGGUGGGUUUGUAAGUCAGUGGUGAAAUCUCCGAGCUUAACUCGGAAACUGCCAUUGAUACUAUAGAUCUUGAAUUAUCUGGAGGUGAGCGGAAUAUGUCAUGUAGCGGUGAAAUGCUUAGAUAUGACAUAGAACACCAAUUGCGAAGGCAGCUCACUACGGAUAUAUUGACACUGAGGCACGAAAGCGUGGGGAUCAAACAGGAUUAGAUACCCUGGUAGCCCACGCCCUAAACGAUGGAUACUCGACAUCAGCGAUACACUGUUGGUGUCUGAGCGAAAGCAUUAAGUAUCCCACCUGGGAAGUACGACCGCAAGGUUG